rnacentral:lncRNA from 1 species
ACUGAUUAUAGUCUAUAUUACAUAAUUAAUUUGAAUAGAAGAAUAGUUUAACUGAUAUAUAUAUAUUUUUAAACCACGAUUUAUCUAUAAUGAAUACUGACAUUUCUUUAUUAAUUAUUCGAAGUGGCUAUUAUUUCUUCAGGCAACAAAUCUAUCGAUCUUGAAUGUUGUCAAUAAAGUGACAGUUUAUCGAACAUAUAUGUAUAUUCGUUCUACUUAAACAGCUUGUUAGCAUCGUUCUAGAUAAUGUCAAUUUGAAAGAAAGAAAGAAAAAAAAAUCUUGUUGAUGGAUUGACAGAAUUAUUUUCAAAAAUUUCCUAACUGAAAACUCUUUACUAACGUCGUGAAUUAAAUGACAUGAUUUAAUUAUACAGGGCGCUGGUUGUAUUAAUUUUCUGAGAAGCACACAAGGAAAAAAUGAUAUGAUCUUUAUUAUAAGAAUUGAGAAAAAAAUAAGAAUUAAGAAGAGAAUAGGUGAUUUUUUGUUGCUUAUUGGAUUUAAAUGAGAAUUUCAUGAAGUUAAAUUAAAAAUAAGAGUUGAAGAAGUGCGGUUGGUGUAUAAAGAAGAUAUCAAGUAGUGACAGAAUCUCCACAGACUAUUUUAAGACAAGCGAUAAAUUUCAACUUGAAGUUUACUAUUUGAGAGAAAAUUAAUGAAAUUCUAAGAAGUAAUUAAUAUUUUCUGGACAUUUCCUAUGAACAAUUUGUUUAAUAUUUACUAAUGCUUGAGGCUUUAUAUGUCAAAUUGAAGGUAGGUAAUUCGCCGUUACUUACGUGUGAUACUCGGAAGUUAUGUGUGUGUAUAACUGUACCGGAAAGGGCCUUUCACUUAAAAUAUGAGGAUUAAAAAAUGAAGUGGAAGAGCCUCUACUCGAUUCUUUAUCUACAAAGAUUCAGAUGCCAAAGAUAAUUUAGGAAAUAUAUAUAAUAAUAACAUAAUUGGAAAGAGCAAUUCUCGAAAGUUACUUUACUCUUCAGAUGUUUAUUAAGAAGUAUUCUAGUCACGAUAUAGUCUAAUGCCAACAAUAAUGAUAAUUUAUUACACAAAGCAAGCUUCCUACGUGAAAAGAAAAAUUUGUGUCUUAUCAGCAAAGAAGGUAAUUUCCCAGUAGUGUAUAAUUUGAAAAUACUUUGCAACAAACGGAUGAACCACACCCCGAGGGAUUAGAGCCUACUCAAAGGUUUAGGCUGAAGAAAGGAAGAGAGUGAAUGGAUGAGGAGGAGGAUAAGAAGGAGUAGUUAGGAAUAGAACUGAGAAAUCAGAAGAUUUCUUCAGGCAAAUAUUUUAGUUGUAAUUAUUAUUUUUUAAAUGUUCCAUUUUCGAGAUUUGCCGAAACAAUAAUUUGGAUUAUAGGUAAGAGUAGAGUUACUCUCCAGGACCCUGUGAAAAAAAUAGGCUACCACGAAACCUGGAAAUCUCACCCCUUCCCAAUUUCAUUUACGUUUAAUUGUUGAAUCCUAGAAGGAAAAUUUUCAACAAAUCAAAGGAGAUAAGAUCUUGAAUUUAGUAAAUGGCUACAAUAAAGGACAAGCUGAUAGGAAGAAGACGAAGGGGAAAGAAAAAAAAAAAAGAAGAAGAGGAGGAGGAGGAUAGAUUAUUAUAAUUCCAAACCAAGAUUACACCCAAAUAUUUUAUGAUUAUUAAUAAGGAGAUAAGUGAAAAAAGAAGAAGAGUAAUAUUUAAUCAUCCAAGAUGAUAAAUUGAAAGCAAUGACAUCCAUUAAACAUUUUGAAAGAAUUUUGUCUCAUACCCUUUAAUAACAAGAUAUAUAAUUAGAUAACUCAUUACAGUCUUCUUAGUGGCAAAGAUGAAUAUUCUAAACAUGAAUGAAGUAUUCUUAUCAAAACAUUGAAUGUUAAGGGGUGGGUGCUUAAUAGCUUUGUUGUUAUCUUCUCAAGAAUUGCACUCUUAAAAUAUAUUAUACAAUAUAAUGUUCGUGUAAUCGAUAGUCUUUCAUUAAACAAAAUUGAUUUUUUUUUCUUCUUUUUGGAAUAUUAAUUAGAUUUUGUGCUUCUUUAUAAAAUUA